CGAGCACGCGCGUGUGGCAUAUCAAUAAGCGGAGGAAAAGAAACUAACAAGGAUUCCCUUAGUAACGGCGAGUGAAGCGGGAAGAGCUCAAAUUUGAAAUCUUCAAGGUUCUACCUUGACGAAUUGUAGUUUAUAGAAGUGUUUUCUGUUAGUGGAGUGGCAAAAGUUCUUUGGAAUAGGACAUCAUAGAGGGUGAGAAUCCCGUAUUUGGUCAUUCCUCCUAGCGUUGUGAUACACUUUCAACGAGUCGGAUUGUUUGGGAAUGCAGUCCAAAAUGGGUGGUAAAUUUCAUCUAAAGCUAAAUAUUGGCGAGAGACCGAUAGCGAACAAGUACCGUGAGGGAAAGAUGAAAAGAACUUUGAAAAGAGAGUUAAACAGUACGUGAAAUUGUCAAAAGGGAAGCGUUUAACACCAGUGUUGUUUUUCCGAAAAUCAAUUACGAAUGUUUUAGUUUUUGAGGAGUUAUGACUUCAUCGGCUUGCUCCAUUCUUUAUGAAACUUUCUUAAUGCACUUUUCGGUUAACAAGUCAACAUCAAUUUCUUUUGUUGUAAAAGGGUAUGAGGAAGGUGGCUUUCUUUUCGGAGAAAGUGUUUAUAGCCUUGUACCUCUGCAAUCGGAGAGAUUGAGGUCUGCAGCGUAGAUCCUUCGGGGUUAGAUACAUUUGUGCUAAGUUAUAGCUUUUCAUAGACAACUUGUUGACUAUGUUAGUCUUGUAGCUUACUCGCUUAUGCUAUUUUACCUACGCUUAGGAUGUUGAGCGCAUGUCUCUCUCU
rnacentral:rRNA from 1 species